AAAAACACAGUGAAGACACUUAUCACAGCAAGACCACAUCAGCGGUAUACUCUUGCCUGAGGUCUACCUUGACAGAAUGGAUGAAGGCGCAGAUCCCAGUCAGGAUGAUCGACAUGCCAAAGUAGCAUCAUUGGGACACAAGAAAGCCAGAAGAGAGAUGGAUUAUGAAGAAACAAACAACAGCAGAACACAAGAGAAGGGAAGAGAUGAGAGCAUCAACCUCUGUUAGGCAACAAACUCAAAUCACAGUCCCUGAGGGAGUUCAUGAGGCAGUGGAGGAGGUGAAAAUAACCUCUAUAUUUGAAUACUACGAAAGUCAAGACAUCACAAAGUUCAUGGUGUGAUGUGGCUGAUGCAGUAGAUCACAAAAACCCUGCUUCCUCGCUGUUCCAGUCCUGUGAGACCCCAAGAUGGGAGAGUGUACAACAGUACAACAGCCAGGAGCAACAGCUCAGCUCCCUGCAAGUGCCAGCACACUGUAAUCCCUGUUAGAAGAUAUAAAUUUGGAUACUGAAGUUCUAU
rnacentral:lncRNA from 1 species